rnacentral:rRNA from 1 species
AACGAACGCUGGCGGCAUGCCUAACACAUGCAAGUCGAACGAAGGCUUCGGCCUUAGUGGCGCACGGGUGAGUAACGCGUGGGAACCUGCCUGGCAGUGGGGAAUAACCUUGGGAAACUGGGGCUAAUACCGCAUACGCCCUUUUGGGGAAAGAUUUAUCGCUGUCAGAUGGGCCCGCGUCGGAUUAGGUAGUUGGAGUGGUAAAGGCACACCAAGACAAUGAUCAGUAGCCGAGCUGAGAGGCUGGCCGGCCACAUUGGGACUGAGACACGGCCCAGACUCCUACGGGAGGCAGCAGUUGGGAAUAUUGGACAAUGGAGGAAACUCUGAUCCAGUGACGCCGCGUGAAGGAAGAAGGUCUUCGGAUUGUAAACUUAUUUUAUUAAGGAAGAAAAAAAUGACAGUACUUAAAGAAAAAGGACCGGCAAACUACGUGCCAGCCGCCGCGGUAA